UCCGUUUGAUCGCGUAAUUUCCGAAUUAAAUUCAAUCGCGUUUAUUAUUCUAUUUUUCGAAAAUUGUAAUCGUCUUGUGAUACGUCUAUCUAAUUUUUGCAAUAAACGACAACCGGGUGCGCGAGAAGUGUUAGUGCGACAGCAGCCGCUUAUCUUUCUUGGUGUUCCAGAUUAACCAGCGAUUAUUCAGCGAUAAGAUAGCGAACUUCAGAGCGAUUUUUAUCGUAUAUUACAUUCUACAGUUUCACGGAAAGCCUGUUCAGUACUAAUUUGUCGAGCACGGUAUCAUUAUUCAGUUUCGACGAGGCAAAACGGGCGAUCUAUUAAGCCCUUUUGGGGUUGUAAGAGUCUCUUCAUUUUAGAUCGUCUCGUUUCUACAAUCAGUAGCAAACCAUGUGGGCGGUCCAAGACUUCGGACCAUGGCAAUUAAUUCCGAACAGCAUCGUUUCCAGUAUGAGGCCGAUCCUCUUAUGUUUCUCAAUGUGAGAUGUAUGUUGUCUAUUAAUCCCUCUGGAGUAUAUUCACCUUGGCGCAUUCUACAUGACACUGAAAUGCUAGCUUUUGCACAGUAAUAUUCAACCACAGAAAAUGCGAAGAACAGAUAAUCUGUUCGUUGGAGCCGUUUGUCAUUGCUCAGAAUACGUGCUUAGACGAUAUUAUCGAUGUUGGGAACACCUUCGUCAACCGAACGUAAUAUGCUUGUUUCGAAAAUAAUUUGUGUUUCAUGGGGUCACAACUGAUAGAUGUUGCGUUCUUUCUACCAGUGAAGAUCUAUUUCUCUCGGAUACAAUUGUUACAGGUAUUAAUGAGUAGAUAUUUAAUACAUUACUGUUGCCAUUUUUCGCAUACAAAUUACGAUGCAAGGUGGCGUGUAAAACAUCAAUAGUAGUAAAUUUCAUACCGCAGAGGCGCCUCGUAACGCUGCUUUAUAUCCUUUCGGACUGGUUGCUGCAUGAUACGGCUAUUGAUGUAAGAUUCGCAGUAAGAAUUCCGUACAUAUACCGUUGAAAAAAUGUAAUCAAACCAUUUUUUAAAUUUGGAAAUCCAUCAUCACCGUUAUCAAUAUCAAUGUGACCAUUUACAGACAUUUCAUAGUCAACGUUAAUAUUGACUCGCCUAUUAUUAAAUGUUAGAUGUGGCAAUAAUUCAGUUGCGGCUAAAUAGUCUACAUUGAUUUCGUUGGGGUUAGGAAUACUUCGCGCUUCAAUGCAAUCACGAUAAUCUUUAUCUCCGACUAUAACCACAUAAUCGACAUCACUAGUACACCACGUACUAGGAUCAAGGGAAUGAAACGCAACACAUGCAACAGCAGCUGUGCCAGUACACUGCUUACCACGAGAUUCGAUACUGAAGCGAUCGCUAGCUUGAUGAAACGUGCCUCGUAAAAUAGCUACAUUCUGACCAACGUCUACAAAUCUACUGUUUGGUUCAGUAUUUCUUUGUGCAACUUCAAUUUCCUCUGUUACAAUAGCCGGCUGUUCAAUGACAUGAGCUAUUUCGAAAAUAUUAUUGGUAAUGUUAGAAAAACAUCGUUGUACAUCUUUGUACAAAGCAUUAUUUUGUAAUAGCCAUUGUAAGAAUACCCGAAGCUUUCCGACAUCUAUUUUAAAUUGUCGCUGUCGCUCCAAAUUUUCGUAGCUUUCCAGUACAAUCAUUAUACCGGAUUGGUUUAAUUGGACUGGAAGUUGCUCGGUUAUUUCGAACACAUCGCGGGCAAAUAGGACUACCUGACCUUUGCACCAAUCCUGACUGCAACGAUUCUGAAUUUUCAUGAUUUUAAGAACCGGCACUAUACUGCACAACAUUUGUUUCUCGAUUUCCGAUAAAUCUGCUAUCUCGUGAGGUACAGACAUUAGUUCCAUUUUAUUCCAGAAUGCCUCUGAUGGAACUUUGUGUUUUUUAAGAUGAUUUAGGCAACGAGAACAUGUUGGUAUCUUCUCUGAUUCCAUUAGAUUUGCAGGAAUUAGGCCAGACAAAGGCUGCGUGUGUAAAGCGUAACGUUGCUGCGGAUAUAAAGUCUUGUAACACACUGCACACGGUACAUCAGCAAAAAUAUUAAUA